AGUGCGUGCGGCACGGGCGAUUUUUGUAAAGUUUAGGAUUGUGAUAGGCCCCUCGAGGCUUUAACCUACGGAACUGCAGUUUUGGAAACUUACAGAGCCUUCGAGUGUUGGCAGAAGGAGGAGUGGAAUUUCCACGUGUAGCCAUGAAAAUGCGUAGGAGAUGUGGAGGAACCCCGAUGGGCGAAGGGCAGGGCCCCUGGGGUUAACACUGACGCUCAGGCACGAAAAGCGUGAGGAGCAAACAGGAUUAGAUACCCUGGUAGUCCCCGCCCUAAACGAUGUCAACUAGUUGUCGGGUCUUAAACGGACUCGGUAACGCAGCUAACGCGUGAAGUUGACCGCCUGGAGAGUACGGGUCGCAAGAUUAAAAACUCAAAGGAAAUUGACGGGGACCCGCACAAAGCGGUGGAUUAUGUGGAUUAAUUUCGAUGCAACGCGAAAAACCUUACCUACCCCUUGACAUGUGCCGAAGCCCGCUGAAAGGUGGGUGUGCCCGAAAGGGAGCGGUAACACAGGUGCUGCAUGGCUGUCGUCAGCUCGUGUCGUGAGAUGUUGGGUUAAGUCCCGCAACGAGCGCAACCCUUGUCAUUAAUUGCCAUCAUUCAGUUGGGCACUUUAAUGAAACUGCCGGUGACAACCCGGAGGAAGGUGGGGAUGACGUCAAGUCCUCAUGGCCCUUAUGGGUAGGGCUUCACACGUAAUACAAUGGCGCGUACAGAGGGUUGCCAACCCGCGAGGAGGAGCUAAUCUCAGAAAGCGCGUCGUAGUCCGGAUCGGAGUCUGCAACUCGACUCCGUGAAGUCUGCAUCGCGGAGUAAUCGCGGAUCAGCAUGUCGCGGUGAAUACGUUCACCGCUCUGCACACCCGCCCGUCAAGAGCGAAUCGCGCCGCUAAAUCACUCGCGCUAUAUAUCAGUCUAGU
rnacentral:rRNA from 1 species